rnacentral:lncRNA from 1 species
UUUACUAAAUACAUUGUCGUGAGAUUCUAUUGUACCUUUUGGCAUCAUAUUCUCAAGUUAAAUUCACUUGUACAGUGAAAUAAGUAAUUUUGAACUUUAGAUAGUAACGAUUUAAAUCAUUCAAUUCAAAGAACUGGUAACUAUCAUUUUUUGAGAACAAUGAAUUGAGGGUAUAGUUUUUUUCUUUUUUUAAAACACACUCGCAAACGUUAAUUCAUUAGUGUAAUGAUCUACUCACUGAUGACCGGUCACAAUAUACAAUCGUGCGGCUAGCAUGGGGUCUGGUACAGCAUAAUUUUGGAUUGUGUAGUUCUUUUUUUUUUUUCUAGUCAGCAGAAUGACUUUUGCAUUUUACUAAACUUAAUCCACAGGAAACCACAAAAGCCGGCAACUUUUGUGGUUCCUGAGGAGCCUAAUAAACUACCCAAAUCCCCCUCCCAAGUUCGAUGUGGGACAAACCUAAGCACUCAGAGCUCACACGCACUA